UAGGGAAUAUUGGACAAUGGGCGCAAGCCUGUUCCAGCCAUGCCGCGUGAGUGAAGAAGGCCCUCGGGUUGUAAAGCUCUUUUGUUGGGGAAGAAAAGCAGUUGGUUAAUACCCGAUUGUUCUGACGGUACCCAAAGAAUAAGCACCGGCUAACUUCGUGCCAGCAGCCGCGGUAAUACGAAGGGUGCAAGCGUUACUCGGAAUUACUGGGCGUAAAGCGUGCGUAGGUGGUUGUUUAAGUCUGAUGUGAAAGCCCUGGGCUCAACCUGGGAAUGGCAUUGGAUACUGGAUAGCUAGAGUGCGGUAGAGGGUAGUGGAAUUCCCGGUGUAGCAGUGAAGUGCGUAGAGAUCGGGAGGAACAUCCGUGGCGAAGGCGACUACCUGGGCCAGCACUGACACUGAGGCACGAAAGCGGGGGGAGCAAACA
rnacentral:rRNA from 1 species